rnacentral:rRNA from 1 species
UACAGAGGGUGCAAGCGUUGUUCGGAAUCAUUGGGCGUAAAGAGCUCGUAGGCGGCUUGUCACGUCGGGUGUGAAAGCCCGGGGCUUAACCCCGGGUCUGCAUUCGAUACGGGCAGGCUAGAGUGUGGUAGGGGAGAUCGGAAUUCCUGGUGUAGCGGUGAAAUGCGCAGAUAUCAGGAGGAACACCGGUGGCGAAGGCGGAUCUCUGGGCCAUUACUGACGCUGAGGAGCGAAAGCGUGGGGAGCGAACAGG